rnacentral:rRNA from 1 species
GAUGAACGCUGGCGGCGUGCUUAACACAUGCAAGUCGAACGGAAAGGCCCUGCUUUUGCGGGGUGCCCGAGUGGCGAACGGGUGAGUAACACGUGAGUAACCUGCCCUUGACUUUGGGAUAACUUCAGGAAACUGGGGCUAAUACCGGAUAGGAGCUCCUGCAGCUUGGUGGGGGUUGGAAAGUUUCGGCGGUUGGGGAUGGACUCCCGGCUUAUCAGCUUGUUGGUGGGGUAGUGGCUUACCAGGGCUUUGACGGGUAGCCGGCCUGAGAGGGUGACCAGCCACAUUAGGACUGGGAUACGGCCCAGACUCCUACGGGAGGCAGCAGUGGGAAAUAUUGCGCAGUGGGCGGAAGCCUGAUGCAGCGACGCCGCGUGCGGGAUGACGGCCUUCGGGUUGUAAACCGCUGUCGCCUGUGACGAAGCGUGAGUGACGGUAAUGGGUAAAGAAGCACCGGCUAACUACGUG